rnacentral:rRNA from 1 species
GGAAACUUACGCUAAUACCGCAUACGCCCUUCGGGGGAAAGCAGGGGAUCGCAAGACCUUGCGCGAUUGAAUGAGCCGAUGUCGGAUUAACUAGUUGGCCGGGUAACGGCCCACCUGGGCAAGGAUCCGGACUGGUCUGACAGGAUGAUCAGCCACACUGGAACUGAAAACGGUCCAGACUCCUACGGGAGGCAGCAUUGGGGAAUAUUGGACAAUGGGCGCAAGCCUGACCCCGCCCUACCGGGUGGGUGAAUAAGGCCUUCAGGUUGUAAAGCCCUUUUGUUGGGAAAGAAAAGCAUCCGGUUAAUACCCGGGUGUUCUGACGGUACCCAAAGAAUAACCACCGGCUAACUUCGUGCCAGCAGCCGAGGUAAUACUAAGGGUGCAUGCGUUACUCGGAAUUACUGGGCGUAAAGCGUGCGUAUGUGGUGAUUUAAGUCCGUUGUGAAAGCCCUGGGCUCAACCUGGGAAUUGCGAUGGAUACUGGGUCACUAGAGUGUGGUAGAGGAUAGUGGAAUUUCCGGUGUAGCAGUGAAAUGCGUAUAGAUCGGAGGAACAUCUGUGGCGAAGGCGACUAUCUGGUGCCAACACUGACACUGAGGCACGAAAGCGUGGGGAGCAAACAGGAUUAGAUACCCUGGUAGUCCACGCCCUAAACGAUGCGCACUGGAUGUUGGGUUCAACUUGGAACCCAGUAUCGAAGCUAGCGCGUUACGUUCGCCGCCUGGGGAGUACGGUCGCAAGACUGAAACUCA